rnacentral:rRNA from 1 species
GACGAACGCUGGCGGCGUGCUUAACACAUGCAAGUCGAACGAGAGCGUAGAGAAAGCUUGCUUUUUCUACAAUCUAGUGGCAAACGGGUGAGUAACGCGUAAACAACCUGCCCUACGGAUGGGGACAACAGCUGGAAACGGCUGCUAAUACCGAAUACGUUCCGAAAGUCGCAUGACUAUCGGAAGAAAGGAUGGCCUCUAUUUAUAAGCUAUCGCCGGAGGAGGGGUUUGCGUCUGAUUAGCUAGUUGGAGGGGUAACGGCCCACCAAGGCGACGAUCAGUAGCCGGUCUGAGAGGAUGAACGGCCACAUUGGAACUGAGACGCGGUCCAGACUCCUACGGGAGGCAGCAGUGGGGAAUCUUCCGCAAUGGGCGAAAGCCUGACGGAGCAACGCCGCGUGAGUGAAGACGGCCUUCGGGUUGUAAAGCUCUGUUAUACGGGACGAAUAAUCUUGUGGUUAAUACCCAUGAGAAGUGACGGUACCGUAAGAGAAAGCCACGGCUAACUACGUG